rnacentral:rRNA from 1 species
AUACGGAGGGUGCAAGCGUUACUCGGAAUCACUGGGCGUAAAGCGCGCGCAGGCGGGCUGAUAAGUUGGAUGUGAAAGCCUGCGGCUCAACCGUAGAACUGCAUCCAAAACUGUCAGUCUAGAGUCUGGGAGGGGAAGAUGGAAUUAGUUGUGUAGGGGUAAAAUCCGUAGAGAUAACUAGGAAUACCAAAAGCGAAGGCGAUCUUCUGGAACAGUACUGACGCUGAGGCGCGAAAGCGUGGGGAGCAAACAGGAUUAGAAACCCCAGUAGUCC